rnacentral:rRNA from 1 species
CCUACGGGUGGCAGCAGUAGGGAAUCUUUCACAAUGGGCGAAAGCCUGAUGGAGCAACGCCGCGUGCAGGAUGAAGGCCUUCGGGUUGUAAACUGCUUUUAUAAGCGAGAAAUAUGAUGGUAACUUAUGAAUAAGGAUCGGCUAACUACGUGCCAGCAGCCGCGGUCAUACGUAGGAUCCGAGCAUUAUCCGGAGUGACUGGGUGUAAAGAGUUGCGUAGGUGGCAUAAUAAGUAGCUAGUGAAAUCUGGUGGCUCAACCAUUCAGACUAUUAGCUAAACUGUUAAGCUCGAGACCGUUAGAGGUAACUGGAAUUUCUAGUGUAGGAGUGAAAUCCGUAGAUAUUAGAAGGAACACCAAUAGCGUAGGCAGGUUGCUGGGACGGUUCUGACACUAAGGCACGAAAGCGUAGGGAGCAAACGGGAUUAGAGACCCGAGUAGUC